GAAGUGGUUCCAGUCGUCGGGACUCGGGUUAGUUAGUACGUUAUUGGUCUCGUCGUAGCAGGAACGCAUGAAAUCCAACUAGUACUGUGAAUGGUUAUGUUUAUAGCUGGAUCUUCACUAUUGAAUUUUGUUAUCUAAUGUGGGGUUUAUUCCACCGAUCUCUAACAUGAACACUAAACUCGGUAAUAUGAAGGUAAAAGCGAACGGUCUUGCCCAUGGAGAAAGAGGCCAGGUAAUUUAGGUUCAAGAGGUUCCCAGGCAGGACUAAGUGGGGAAACCAAAAUCGGCCAUAUAAUGUUCCUGUGCAUAGUACUGCGUUGUUUUUGACUUGAGACAAGCAUCGUACUACUUCGUUUGCAUCAGUAAAGGAAUGGAUAUGAAGAUUGUUCUUAGCUUUUAAUCAAAAUGUUGUACUUUGUAAAUGAAUUUAAAUUGAC